rnacentral:piRNA from 1 species
UGGAAUGUCACAAGUUUUCAGCUUAGG